rnacentral:rRNA from 1 species
CUACGGGAGGCAGCAGCAGGGAAUAUUGUGCAAUGAACGAAAGUUUGACACAGCGACACCGCGUGUGGGAUGACGGAUCUAGGUUUGUAAACCACUUUCAGGAGGGAAGAAAAUGACGGUACCUCCACAAGAAGCCCCGGCCAACUACGUGCCAGCAGCCGCGGUAAUACGUAGGGGGCGAGCGUUGUCCGGAUUUAUUGGGCGUAAAGAGCUCGUAGGCGGUUCAACAAGUCGGUCGUGAAAGUUCAGGGCUCAACCCUGAAAUGUCGAUCGAUACUGUUGUGACUAAGAUACGGUAGAGGUGAGUGGAAUUCCGAGUGUAGCGGUGAAAUGCGUAGAUAUUCGGAGGAACACCAAUAGCGAAGGCAGCUCACUGGGCCGCUAUCGACGCUGAGGAGCGAAAGCUAGGGGAGCAAACAGGAUUAGAUACCCUGGUAGUCCUAGCUGUAAACGAUGGAUACUAGACGUAGGAACUGGAUUGACGGUUUCUGUGUCGCAGCUAACGCGUUAAGUAUCCCGCCUGGGGAGUACGGUCGCAAGACUAAAACUCAAAG